rnacentral:rRNA from 1 species
ACGAACGCUGGCGGCGUGCUUAACCCAUGCAAGUCGAACGGAAAGGCCCUGCUUUUGUGGGGUGCUCGAGUGGCGAACGGGUGAGUAACACGUGAGUAACCUGCCCUUGACUUUGGGAUAACUUCAGGAAACUGGGGCUAAUACCGGAUAGGAGCUCCUGCUGCAUGGUGGGGGUUGGAAAGUUUCGGCGGUUGGGGAUGGACUCGCGGCUUAUCAGCUUGUUGGUGGGGUAGUGGCUUACCAAGGCUUUGACGGGUAGCCGGCCUGAGAGGGUGACCGGCCACAUUGGGACUGAGAUACGGCCCAGACUCCUACGGGAGGCAGCAGUGGGGAAUAUUGCACAAUGGGCGGAAGCCUGAUGCAGCAACGCCGCGUGCGGGAUGACGGCCUUCGGGUUGUAAACCGCUUUGGCCUGUGACGAAGCGUGAGUGACGGUAAUGGGUAAAGAAGCACCGGCUAACUACGUG